AUUAUGGUGUCACCAAUAUAUGUGUGUUUUAGAUCCGAUCUUGCAAGUUGUAGUUACCUACUAUGUGUUAUGAUCUGGCAACCCCGAAGUGACAAUAACCGGAACCACUCGUGGUGAUGACCAUAGUUUGAGGAGUUUCAUGUGUUCACCAAGUGCUAAUGUGUUGGUCCGGUUCUUUAUUACAAGGAGAACCUUAAUAUCUCGUAGUUUCCUUUUGGACCCCGCUGCCACGGGAGGGAUAGACAAUAGAUGUCAUGCAACUUAUUUUCCCUAAGCACGUAUGACGACACACGGAAUGCAUGCCUACAUCACAUUGACGAACGGGAGCUAGCCAUAUCUCUCUCCGUGUUAUAGCUGUUGCAUGAUGAAUAUCAUCCAAACAAAUCACUGACCCAUUGCCUACGAGUUUGUCCUACUGUUGCUACUACUGUUACU
rnacentral:lncRNA from 1 species